rnacentral:rRNA from 1 species
UGCCAGCCGCCGCGGUAAUACGGAGGGUGCAAGCGUUGUUCGGAAUUAUUGGGCGUAAAGCGCGUGUAGGCGGCAUGUUAAGUCGACUGUGAAAGCCCAUAGCUCAACCCCGGAAGUGCAUUGGAAACUGGCGAACUUGAGUACGGGAGAGGAAAGUGGAAUUCCGAGUGUAGGGGUGAAAUCCGUAGAUAUUCGGAGGAACACCAGUGGCGAAGGCGGCUUUCUGGACCGAUACUGACGCUGAGACGCGAAAGCGUGGGGAGCAAACAGGAUUAGAUA